rnacentral:rRNA from 1 species
UACGUAGGGGCCUAGCGUUGUCCGGAAUUACUGGGCGUAAAGCGUGCGCAGGCGGUUCGUGAUGUCUGGUGCGAAAGCCCCGGGCUUAACCUGGGAAUUGCAUUGGAAACUAGCGGGCUGGAGUGUGGCAGAGGGGGGUGGAAUUCCACGUGUAGCAGUGAAAUGCGUAGAGAUGUGGAGGAACACCGAUGGCGAAGGCAGCCCCCUGGGCUAACGCUGACGCUCAUGCACGAAAGCGUGGGGAGCAAACAGG